AUUGAACGCUGGCGGCAUGCUUUACACAUGCAAGUCGAACGGCCGCACGGGCUGCGGCCUCGCCGCGCGUGGCGAACGGGCGGGUAAUGAACCCGUGCGUGCCCAGCCGAUGGGGCUAGCACGGCGACGGGCGGCCUAAUCUCAUAUCCGACCAGAUGGUGAACGCGGGGGACCAAAAGUCCACGCCGUUUUUGAGCGCCCGAUGUCGGAUUAGCUAGUUGGUGGGGCAAAGGCUUACCAAGGCGACGAUCCGUAGCUGGUCUGAGAGGACGACCUGCCACACUGGGACUGAGACACGGCCCAGACUCCUACGGGAGGCAGCAGUGGGGAAUUUUGGACAAUGGGGGCAACCCUGAUCCAGCCAUGCCGCGUGCGGGAAGAAGGCCUUCGGGUUGUAAACCGCUUUUGUUCGGGAAGAAAUCCUCUGGGCUAAUACCCCGGGGGGAUGACGGUACCGGAAGAAUAAGCACCGGCUAACUACGUG
rnacentral:rRNA from 1 species